CUGUGCAAAGGUAGCAUAAUCAUUAGUUUUUUAAUUGAAGGCUUGUAUGAAGGGUCUGACAAAGGAAAAGCUGUCUUUAAUUUUAUUUUUGAAUUUAACUUUUAAGUGAAAAGGCUUAAAUAAUUUUAAGGGACGAUAAGACCCUAUAAAUCUUUAUAUUAAAUUAUUAUCUUGAAUUUUAAUAAUUUGUCUAGAUUUGACAAGUAAAAUAAUAAAUAUUUUGUUGGGGUGACGAGAAUAUAAAAAUAACUGUUCUUAAAAAAAACAAAGUUGUUUGUAAAAUAAUUUAUAGAUCCUUUUUAAAGAUUAAAAGUUUAAGUUACUUUAGGGAUAACAGCGUUAUUUUUUUUUGAGAGUUCUUAUCGAAAAAAAAGUUUGCGACCUCGAUGUUGAAUUAAAAUUUCUCUACGGUGUAGAAGUUGUGGAAGAGAGUCUGUUCGACUUUUGAAAUUUU
rnacentral:rRNA from 1 species